GACCUGAUCCAAAGCUCUUUACUCAAUCAAAUUGAGUUAAUUACUAAUUAAUUCUCUAUUAAUAGUAGAGUCUCAGUCCCAAUGAGACUCUCCUGUAGAGUCCUAGUCCCAGUAGGACUCAUCACCAGAGUCACAAUCCAUUUGGACUCUUCAACCAUCAGAUCUGACCAAAUCUUCUAAUGCAUGUGAUCUCAUAGGUUUGAACCUAAGUUGGUAACAUAAGAAUAACUUCUUAUACCAAUCAAUGUGAUCAUCAAGCAAUGGUGACCCA
rnacentral:lncRNA from 1 species